GUUCCUUGAGGAGUGGCUUCCGGAGCUAACGCGUUAAGUCGACCGCCUGGGGAGUACGGCCGCAAGGUUAAAACUCAAAUGAAUUGACGGGGGCCCGCACAAGCGGUGGAGCAUGUGGUUUAAUUCGAUGCAACGCGAAGAACCUUACCUACUCUUGACAUCCAGAGAACUUAGCAGAGAUGCUUUGGUGCCUUCGGGAACUCUGAGACAGGUGCUGCAUGGCUGUCGUCAGCUCGUGUUGUGAAAUGUUGGGUUAAGUCCCGCAACGAGCGCAACCCUUAUCCUUUGUUGCCAGCGGUCCGGCCGGGAACUCAAAGGAGACUGCCAGUGAUAAACUGGAGGAAGGUGGGGAUGACGUCAAGUCAUCAUGGCCCUUACGAGUAGGGCUACACACGUGCUACAAUGGCGCAUACAAAGAGAAGCGACCUCGCGAGAGCAAGCGGACCUCAUAAAGUGCGUCGUAGUCCGGAUCGGAGUCUGCAACUCGACUCCGUGAAGUCGGAAUCGCUAGUAAUCGUAGAUCAGAAUGCUACGGUGAAUACGUUCCCGGGCCUUGUACACACCGCCCGUCACACCAUGGGAGUGGGUUGCAAAAGAAGUAGGUAGCUUAACCUUCGGGAGGGCGCUUACCACUUUGUGAUUCAUGACUGGGGUGAAGUCGUAACAGGG
rnacentral:rRNA from 1 species